rnacentral:lncRNA from 1 species
CUUUAAACUUCAAGGAGAGAAUUUGCUCUGGUAAAGAAAUCAUACUUGUAACAUUGUAGCAAAGAUCUACAUAUAUACCUACGUGACUGAAAAUUCUUCCCUACCUUCCCAGGAUUUCUAGUUAUCCCCUAGGGGAGACAUAUAUAAGGUGACAGGGAAGUUAUAAUGAUACUUCUGAAACAAUUUGUGAUAGUGGUAACUUUCAGAGGACUGCUAAGACAGUAAACGAAUGAAGGUU